rnacentral:rRNA from 1 species
AUGGAGGCCCUGCAACCCAUGGGGACGGUGACGGUGGCCUCACGGGGGUGGCCUCGUCGACAACCUCGACUGGGUGGACGAACCAACGUCGGCUGCAGACCAUGGAGGACUACUGGAAGCGCACUUCGUGCAGUCGCCGGCUUGCGCAUGGACAAAGAGGAGGGAUUAAGAGUAGAAAUCAAUGUUAUAGACUGUACCAAAUAUGCAAUUUUGGGAAAGGUCUACAUUCUAUUAAAAAUAGAAAUGGUUGGGAAGCAGUCAAUUGGUGAUCAUCGAACGUGUCGGAACUUCCAAGGAAAUGUCUCUCUGUGGCUAAAAUACAUCGGUUUUCCCCUCAAGUCACUAAACUGCAAUGCGUAG